rnacentral:rRNA from 1 species
CGUGUAGGCGGCCAGGUAGGUGGGUUGUGAAAACUGGAGGCUCAACCUUCAGACGUCGACCCAAACCCUCUGGCUAGAGUCCGGAAGAGGAGAGUGGAAUUCCUGGUGUAGCGGUGAAAUGCGCAGAUAUCAGGAAGAACACCCGUGGCGAAGGCGGCUCUCUGGGACGGUACUGACGCUGAGACGCGAAAGCGUGGGGAGCGAACA